ACGAACGCUGGCGGCUUGCUUAACACAUGCCGGUCGAACGGUGAAGCGCCUUCCUUUUUGGUGGGUGUGGAUGAGUGGCGCACGGGUGAGUAACACGUGAGUAACCUGCCCCCUUCUUCUGGAUAACCGCAUGAAAGUGUGGCUAAUACGGGAUAUUCUGGGUCUGUCGCAUGAUGGGUCUGGGAAAGAUAUUGUUUCGGUGGGGGAUGGGCUCGCGGCCUAUCAGCUUGUUGGUGGGGUGAUGGCCUACCAAGGCGGUGACGGGUAGCCGGCCUGAGAGGGUGGACGGUCACACUGGGACUGAGACACGGCCCAGACUCCUACGGGAGGCAGCAGUGGGGAAUAUUGCACAAUGGGCGCAAGCCUGAUGCAGCGACGCCGCGUGAGGGAUGGAGGCCUUCGGGUUGUGAACCUCUUUCGCCAGUGAAGCAGGCCUGCCUCGUUUGUGGGUGGGUUGACGGUAGCUGGAUAAGAAGCGCCGGCUAACUACGUG
rnacentral:rRNA from 1 species